AGGGCUUAGUUUAAUUAAAAUAAUUGAUUUGCAUUCAAUUGAUGUGAGAUAUGAUCUUGCAGUCCUUA
rnacentral:tRNA from 1 species